UUUCCGUAGGUGAACCUGCGGAAGGAUCAUUAACACAAAAAAAAAAAAGGAAGGUUUAUUCUUUCCUUUUUUCUAAACUUGUUUCUCUCGAUCCAAUUAAAACCUGGAUUUGAGAGAGACAAUAAGCACAGUAAUGUGAAUACCAUCAAGUCUUUAACAAUAUGCCACCAAGGCUUAACCUCUUUUGGUGGUUCAUCUUAUUGUUAUUUAAAAACUCAUAUAAUUUUUUAUAUAUUCAUCAAAGCGUUGUAACUGAUCACUAAAAAGGUCUUUAUUUUUUUUUCAUUCAAAUCGUUUCGUAUGAUUGAUUGAUUUUUAAAAAAUAUUUACCUUGGAGGUUGAUUAAUUGAUAUAUAUAACCAAAAGACAACUUUUAACAACGGAUAUCUUGGUUCUC
rnacentral:misc_RNA from 1 species